AAAAAGAAAAACAUCCAAUGGGUUUCCUCUAUCUGUAUUUCUGUCCACCUACCGGUUUCAUAUCAUAAUCAUCAGGGCAGACAUAUAAAAAAUGUGUAGUUGCUACGCAACGUCGCAUGUGUACACAUGUGUACGCAACGUUAUUUUAUGACGUCAUCAAUAUUUGUUUAGUUUUGGCUUAAAUACAUCAAAAAAGUAACGUUCCUUAGACAACCUAGCUGAAACAUUAUUAUUAUGAAAUUUAUAAAAAGGAAAAAUUAAAUACUGUGGGUCAGUUUUAGAGCAUAGAUCUAAAUGUUCACUAAUAUAUAUAUAUAUUAUACUAAUGAUAAGUUACAUUUGAAGUCAAACUUUUUAGAAUAGCACUAAGAAAUACAGAACUAAAAAUAACCAAAUUUAACCGGUUUUUUAACGUUUUUUUUCUAAAUAAAUCUCUUACAUGCAUGAAGACCCAACUUUUUUUGUUCCAUUUUGGGUGUCAUUAAAGCUGCAAAAUAUUUUUAAAACCUUAACGUCAGAUUUUUUGUAGAUUUAGGUCAGAGACCACCAAUUCAAACAACAGCUGUUAUCUCAAAAGACUUUGUCAAAAUGUGGACUGGUACAAAAAAACUUAACCAAGAUUUCUAAGUCAAAAGGGGCCAUAAUUCAGCCACAAUCCUAGAUGAAGUUAUGUACUCUUGCCUAUAACUGGACAUGGUGACGGUAAACAAGGGCUGAAAGUUUCAAAGCUUUAUCACAAAAGACUUUGUCAAAAUGUGGUACGAAAAACUUAACCAAGAUUUCUAAGUCAAAAGGGGCCAUAAUUCAGCCAAAAUCCUGGAUGAAGUUAUGUACUCUUGCCUAUAACUGGACAUGGUGAUGGUAAACAAGGGCUGAAAGUUUCAAAGCUUUAUCACAAAAGACUUUGUCAAAAUGUGGUACGAAAAACUUAACCAAGGUGUGACACCGACGCCGACGCCAACGACGUGGCUGAGUGGCGUACAAAGAUAAAGAUAGCCACAUUUACCCCACUUCUACUGGUCGAUCAUCAACACAUCGCACAACAUCGUACCGUCUGACAUUUGCAAGACAAAUAUAUUCGUAUUUUUUGUAUAUUGGAAUGCUGUCAAAUACUAAGACCUGUAUCCUA